rnacentral:rRNA from 1 species
CCUACGGGAGGCAGCAGUGGGGAAUAUUGCACAAUGGGGGGAACCCUGAUGCAGCGACGCCGCGUGAGUGAAGAAGUAUUUCGGUAUGUAAAGCUCUAUCAGCAGGGAAGAAAAUGACGGUACCUGACUAAGAAGCCCCGGCUAACUACGUGCCAGCAGCCGCGGUAAUACGUAGGGGGCAAGCGUUAUCCGGAUUUACUGGGUGUAAAGGGAGCGCAGACGGCUGUGCAAGUCUGGAGUGAAAGGGGGGGGCCCAACCCCCGGACUGCUCUGGAAACUGUCAAGCUGGAGUGCAGGAGAGGUAAGCGGAAUUCCUGGUGUAGCGGUGAAAUGCGUAGAUAUUAGGAGGAACACCAGUGGCGAAGGCGGCUUACUGGACUGCAACUGACGUUGAGGCUCGAAAGCGUGGGGAGCAAACAGGAUUAGAUACCCCAGUAGUC